rnacentral:piRNA from 1 species
ACAGGGCAGUGAGGAGCGGGCGC